rnacentral:rRNA from 1 species
GACGAACGCUGGCGGCGUGCUUAACACAUGCAAGUCGAACGGUAAGGCCCUUCGGGGUACACGAGUGGCGAACGGGUGAGUAACACGUGGGUGAUCUGCCCUGCACUUCGGGAUAAGCCUGGGAAACUGGGUCUAAUACCGGAUAGGACUCCGGACUGCAUGGUCUGGGGUGGAAAGCUUUCGCGGUGUGGGAUGGGCCCGCGGCCUAUCAGCUUGUUGGUGGGGUGAUGGCCUACCAAGGCGACGACGGGUAGCCGGCCUGAGAGGGUGUCCGGCCACACUGGGACUGAGAUACGGCCCAGACUCCUACGGGAGGCAGCAGUGGGGAAUAUUGCACAAUGGGCGCAAGCCUGAUGCAGCGACGCCGCGUGAGGGAUGACGGCCUUCGGGUUGUAAACCUCUUUCACCAGGGACGAAGCGCAAGUGACGGUACCUGGAGAAGAAGCACCGGCCAACUACGUGCCAGCCGCCGCCGUAA